GGAUGUGAGGGCGAUCUGGCUAUGACACCUUUCACCCGUUGAUCACCAGGGUUGGUUGGGGUGAUCUGGCUGGCUAGGCGGAUGUCCCCUUCCUCCUCCUGCUCCAUGGGCAUCCCCGCUGAAGCUGAGAGCUUGGUGGCAGAAGAUGACCACCCCAAUACAGGAGGACUGUUUUCUCAGUCGAGAAAACAGUAUACAGUAGCUAGAGUCCCCUGCUUGAACCUCCAAACAAUAUCUCAAGGAUUGAGAAAUCUGUUCUUGUCAGAUCCUGUGAAAAGUACAUGUGGAGAUACAAAACCAGCAUGUACAACAUGAACGCU
ensembl:misc_RNA 7SK 7SK RNA